rnacentral:tRNA from 1 species
GCCAUUGUGGCACAGUGGUUAAGUGUUCAUCUGCUAACUGAAAGGUUGGCAUUUGAACCUGCCCAGUGGCU